GGGGCCGACUGGUUUCGACCGGGCAGGGAAGGCUUGGUGUGGCGUGUCGAGGGGCGUGCUGGCCUCGUAAAAAGCACGCGACUGCAAUGACUGCCGAACCGCAGUACGCUUUGGCGGCCUAACAGCGCCGUCGGUCCGCCGCCUGACGCCCGAUGGGGCGGCGGAUCAAGACAUCGGGCUGGUACAACCGCGGCGCCUCCGGGCGGGUGUGCGAGGAGGUUCACCGGGAGCUGGGCGACAGCGCAGGCCGUCGGUGGCCGGCGUCAAGCCGAGAUUCAAAACGCCGACUACGCACGUAGAAGCACCCUGCUGACUGCUCUGGGACGGGGGUUCGAUUCCCCCCGGCUCCAUUC
rnacentral:tmRNA from 2 species